AGAGUUUGAUCCUGGCUCAGAACGAACGCUGGCGGCAGGCCUAACACAUGCAAGUCGAGCGCCCGCAAGGGAGCGGCAGACGGGUGAGUAACGCGUGGGAACGUGCCCUUUGGUUCGGAAUAUUCCCGGGAAACUGGGAGCAAAACCGGAUAAGCCCUUCGGGGGAAAGUUUACGCCAAAGGAUCGGCCCGCGUUAGAUUAGGUAGUUGGUGGGGUAACGGCCUACCAAGCCUACGAUCUAUAGCUGAUCUGAGAGGAUGAUCAGCCACACUGGGACUGAGACGCGGCCCAGACUCCUACGGGAGGCAGCAGUGGGGAAUCUUGGACAAUGGGCGCAAGCCUGAUCCAGCCAUGCCGCGUGGAUGACUGAAGGCCCUAGGGUUGUAAAGUCCUUUCGACGGGGACGAUAAUGACGGUACCCGUAGAAGAAGCCCCGGCUAACUUCGUGCCAGCAGCCGCGGUAAUACGAAGGGGGCUAGCGUUGUUCGGAUUUACUGGGCGUAAAGGGCGCGUAGGCGGAUUUUUAAGUCGGGGGUGAAAUCCCGGAGCUCAACUCCGGAACUGCCUUCGAUACUGGAAGUCUGGAGCACGGUAGAGGUGAGUGGAAUUCCGAGUGUAGCGGUGAAAUGCGUAGA
rnacentral:rRNA from 1 species